UACGAAGGGGGCUAGCGUUGCUCGGAAUGACUGGGCGUAAAGGGCGCGUAGGCGGUUUGUACAGUCAGGUGUGAAAUUCCCGGGCUCAACCUGGGGGCUGCACUUGAUACGUAUGAACUUGAGUGAGGAAGAGGGUCGUGGAAUUCCCAGUGUAGAGGUGAAAUUCGUAGAUAUUGGGAAGAACACCGGUGGCGAAGGCGGCGACCUGGUCCUUUUACUGACGCUGAGGCGCGAAAGCGUGGGGAGCAAACAGG
rnacentral:rRNA from 1 species